rnacentral:pre_miRNA from 1 species
CGGCCUUCCGUUUCCACGUUUCCUUAUCAUUCGACUGUCCAGACUGCUGUUUUGGAGACCUGGACGGAGAACUGAUAAGGGCUUGUGGUUGCAUUACUCAA